AUGUAGGGCAAUCUAUCUUUAAGUAGGGGUAAAUUACUCUUAAAAAAGAUUCCUAGAUAGUUUUCCCUUCAAGUCAAGCAUCGUCUUGU
rnacentral:pre_miRNA from 1 species